GACGUUUUGAGAUGAUGGGGAGUAACGUUGUUCUCCAACUCCGGAGAAUGUCCCAAGUGUAAUAUCACAGUUCUAAGGACAGGUUCAUCCUGAAGGGGAGAAAGGCUGCUAUCUGAGAGGGGUGACUGGAGCCCUAUUAUGUUAGAGAGCCACCGGGGAGAAUGCAGUGGGCACUGGACUGUCCCCCAGAUCUAGGAGUUUUGGAGACUGGGGCUCUCUGCCGACUUUUUUCCUCAAAGUCAGGCUGCUCAGAGCAGCAGCCUAUCGUUGCAACUUCAUGAUCAAAUCUUGACUUCCUUUCCUCCAAACAGAACUGAUGCUGAAGGCCUGUCGACGUGCCUGGCCUCUUGAAAGAGCAGCGAAAACAUGCAAUGCUGGCUGACAUCUCUCUCUGCCUUCUCUUGCUAACCCCUCACCCCUUUGCAGAACGUUCCCCAAUAAGUCUCUGUGUGCACAUCUCAAGAGUCUUGCAAUCCACGCCUCCCCAUUGGUAGGAGAGCUGAUUGAAGGAAGUUCUGAAGGUCUGGAAUACAGUCACUGCUGUCCUAGGACUAUUCACAACAGCCCCGUGUUAUGGAACCAGUCUAAGUGAAUCAAUAAAGAAAAUGUCCUAUGGUUACUCAAUGGGCUUGGGAGAUGUCUCCGUGGUUAAGGCACUUCCAGGUGAAGGGUAAGUGACUGAAUUCAGAUCUCCAGAACCCACAUGAGCCAACUGGCAUGGCAGCCACCCGGAACCCCGAACUGAGAAGGCAGAGAUUGAGACCUCCAGAAUAAGCCAGGUAUCUAGACUAGCCAGAGUUAGC
rnacentral:lncRNA from 1 species